rnacentral:rRNA from 1 species
UACGUAGGGGGCAAGCGUUGUCCGGAAUCAUUGGGCGUAAAGCGCGUGUAGGCGGCCCGGUAAGUCCGGCGUGAAAUUCCUGGGCUCAACCUGGGGGCUGCGCUUGAGACUGCUGGGCUUGAGGAUGGAAGAGGCUCGUGGAAUUCCCAGUGUAGAGGUGAAAUUCGUAGAUAUUGGGAAGAACACCGGUGGCGAAGGCGGCGAGCUGGUCCAUUACUGACGCUGAGGCGCGACAGCGUGGGGAGCAAACAG